rnacentral:rRNA from 1 species
GAUGAACGCUGGCGGCGUGCCUAAUACAUGCAAGUCGAGCGAACAGAUGAGGAGCUUGCUCCUCUGACGUUAGCGGCGGACGGGUGAGUAACACGUGGAUAACCUACCUAUAUGACUGGGAUAACUUCGGGAAACCGGAGCCAAUACCGGAUAAUAUAUUGAACCGCAUGGUUCAAUAGUGAAAGACGGUUUUGCUGUCACUUAUAGAUGAAUCCGCGUCGCAUUAGCUAGUUGGUAAGGUAACGGCUUACCAAGGCGACGAUGCGUAGCCGACCUGAGAGGGUGAUCGGCCACACUGGAACUGAGACACGGUCCAGACUCCUACGGGAGGCAGCAGUAGGGAAUCUUGCGCAAUGGGCGAAAGCCUGACGGAGCAACGCCGCGUGAGUGAUGAAGGUCUUCGGAUCGUAAAGCUCUGUUAUUAGGGAAGAACAAAUGUGUAAGUAACUAUGCACGUCUUGACGGUACCUAAUCAGAAAGCCACGGCUAACUACGUG